AAGUCGUAACAAGGUUUCCGUUGGUGAACCAGCGGAAGGAUCAUUACUGAGUUAUCUGCCCUUUGGGUAGAUCUCAAACCCUUGAAUACAAUACCUUUUGUUGCUUUGGCGGGCCACAGGCACUCUGGAUCGGCUUCGGCUGGUUAGUGCCCGCCAGAGAACCCUAAACUCUUGAAUAUUUAUUGUCUGAGUAUCUAAAAAUUUAUUAAAACUUUCAACAACGGAUCUCUUGGUUCUG
rnacentral:misc_RNA from 1 species